rnacentral:rRNA from 1 species
GAUGAACGCUGGCGGCGUGCCUAAUACAUGCAAGUCGAGCGAACGGACGAGAAGCUUGCUUCUCUGAUGUUAGCGGCGGACGGGUGAGUAACACGUGGAUAACCUACCUAUAAGACUGGGAUAACUUCGGGAAACCGGAGCUAAUACCGGAUAAUAUUUUGAACCGCAUGGUUCAAAAGUGAAAGACGGUCUUGCUGUCACUUAUAGAUGGAUCCGCGCUGCAUUAGCUAGUUGGUAAGGUAACGGCUUACCAAGGCAACGAUGCAUAGCCGACCUGAGAGGGUGAGCGGCCACACUGGAACUGAGACACGGUCCAGACUCCUACGGGAGGCAGCAGUAGGGAAUCUUCCGCAAUGGGCGAAAGCCUGACGGAGCAACGCCGCGUGAGUGAUGAAGGUCUUCGGAUCGUAAAACUCUGUUAUUAGGGAAGAGCAUAUGUGUAAGUAACUGUGCACAUCUUGACGGUACCUAAUCAGAAAGCCACGGCUAACUACGUG